rnacentral:lncRNA from 1 species
GCGGCCGCUGAGCGCAUCGGAGGGCGGGCGCGCCGAGGCGCCGGGUGGGAGCGGAGCAUCUUCACUUCUGCGGGGACCUAGUUUGCCCCCACCUGAUGCAACCCAGAAAAUGGACUGACUGCGAGUGCCUUGGGGCGGAGAAUGUGUCUUGCUACGUGUAAAGCACCUAGAACCCUGCCAGAUUCAGGGGACACAGCAUCCUGCCGUUUUCCUGCCGUCCCCCGCCCGCCACACAGUAGGCGCUCCAGUGGCUCGGGGCAUCUACCAGGCAGGCCGCGCUGUCCUGCCCUGCCGGGGCUGGAGUGGAGCAACCCUCCGGGGCCACCCACAUCUGGGUACCUUUUCCCCACUUUUUCCACCCCAGCCGCGCACAGUCACCAGAAAACUCUUUUAGAAAUACAAACACUUGGCCUGGCGCGGUGGCUCACACCU